GAUGAAGAACGUAGCUAAAUGCGAUACUUGGUGUGAAUUGCAGAAUCCCGUGAACCAUCGAGUCUUUGAACGCAAGUUGCGCCCGAAGCCACUAGGCCGAGGGCACGCCUGCCUGGGCGUCACACGUCGUUGCCCCCCCCCCAUCUACUCCUUCGGGAUUGCGGGGGGCGGAUGAUGGCCUCCCGUGCGCCUAGCCGCGCGGUUGGCAUAAAUACCAAGUCCUCGGCGACGCACGCCACGACAAUCGGUGGUUGCGAAACCUCGGUUGCCCGUCGUGUGCGUUCGUCGCGCAUCGAGGGCUCGAAAAAAUGCUCGGCUCCGGCUCGGCUUUCAACGCGACCCCAGGUCAGGCGGGGUUACCCGCUGAAUUUAAGCAUAUCAAUAAGCGGAGGA
rnacentral:misc_RNA from 1 species